GUAGACCAUGCCGUAAACGUUGGGCACUAGGUGUGGGGGACGUUCCACGUUUUCCGCGCCGUAGCUAACGCAUUAAGUGCCCCGCCUGGGGAGUACGGCCGCAAGGCUAAAACUCAAAGGAAUUGACGGGGGCCCGCACAAGCGGCGGAGCAUGCGGAUUAAUUCGAUGCAACGCGAAGAACCUUACCAAGGCUUGACAUGAACCGGAAACACCUGGAAACAGGUGCCCCGCUUGCGGUCGGUUUACAGGUGGUGCAUGGUUGUCGUCAGCUCGUGUCGUGAGAUGUUGGGUUAAGUCCCGCAACGAGCGCAACCCUCGUUCUAUGUUGCCAGCGCGUUAUGGCGGGGACUCAUAGGAGACUGCCGGGGUCAACUCGGAGGAAGGUGGGGACGACGUCAAAUCAUCAUGCCCCUUAUGUCUUGGGCUUCACGCAUGCUACAAUGGCCGGUACAAAGGGUUGCGAUACUGUGAGGUGGAGCUAAUCCCAAAAAGCCGGUCUCAGUUCGGAUUGGGGUCUGCAACUCGACCCCAUGAAGUCGGAGUCGCUAGUAAUCGCAGAUCAGCAACGCUGCGGUGAAUA
rnacentral:rRNA from 1 species